rfam:Triticum aestivum genome assembly, contig: Triticum_aestivum_CS42_TGACv1_scaffold_375480_5AL
AUUCUACUCCCUCCGUUGCACAAUACAUGCCUUCUAUUUGUCAAAAUAUAUAUGUAUAUAGACAUGUCUUAGUAUAUAGGUACAUCCAUUUUUGGACAAAUGGAAGUCAAGUAUUUUGGAACGGAGGGAGUACACA